CCAAACAUACCCGUAAUUUCUUCUCUCAUGUUCACACUACAUCUGAGAACUUCCCCAUUUUCGCAGGGGCGCAUAGCAUAUUACCACUCGAUCCUCCGUUUCACAUCUCAUCUCCAUUGCUGAAAGCUCUAAACACUUCUUCUAAUUCCACAUCUCAUCUCCAUUACUGAAAGCUCUUAACACUUUGUCUAAUGCCACAAUUCACUAACAUGAGUAACACAGAAAGUCCUGAGGUUGCCAAGGAGGCGAUUGGUUUGAUCGUGCUCUUUACAGUGAUCUUGCGCCUUGUCGCCCCACGUUUCGCGCUCUAUAUUGAUUAUGCUGGUUUACUAUUAAUAGCAAUUUGGUUCUUGGAGAUCACAACUAUGUUUCUCCCUGUCAGCUGGAUGAUCUUUCCUGCUGCUGCUGCUGUUCUCCUUUUCUACGCUUUUGUUCAAGCGAUCUGCAAACUCAGGAAUCAAUGAUCCGCAACAGUCCAUUAGGGACGCAAGAAAAUGGGAAGAGGGCAUUAUCUUCAACUAAAGAGUGAACAGAUGGACUCAAACAAACUUUUCUUAUCUAAAAAAUCUGAAUCUUUUGUAUGAUCUUGAUUGUUGUCGAGAAUUUAUAUACAUAUAUAUGUGUGUGUUUGGGACAUUGAAGUUUCCUAGUAUCUUGGGAUAAUGGCUUUGUCUUUGGCCAAAUCUGUAGUGUGGAUGUGGAUUGUUAAGAGUGAUAUAAUCCACAAUGAAGUAACUUGAAUAAUUCAGAUUCACAUCAGAAUCAGAAGGGUGAAGUUCUUCGUCGGUUAAUGUUAAUCGGUUCGAUUUCUUCACGGAUAGGGGCAUACCCACCUUUUUUGGAAGGAUCGGAAAUUAAUUUCAUGCGGGUCAAUGUACUUAAUGAGAGUGGUGCAUCGUUUGGCCAAUGAUGUCCUGACGCCAUUGAAUAUGUCAUUGGAAAGGGAGAAACCAAUCAACAUGAUGAUGUUCCAUACAAAGGUUAUGUUCAUUUAAUAAUGGUUAGGACCCAAACUAUUUGGAACUUAAAGUUGGGUCCUUAAACGUGUGUAUAAAUAGUAGAACUAAUAUAUGUUGUUACACUAGUUAUCUAUUUGAUCUGUAGUGUAACAUGUGGACACGACAUUUUUUUUUAUGUUUUCCAUUGGGUAGUGUUAUAUUUAUGAGACUUUUAUGUU